rnacentral:rRNA from 1 species
ACCUACGGGACGCAGCAGUCGGGAAUAUUGCGCAAUGGAGGAAACUCUGACGCAGUGACGCCGCGUGCAGGAAGAAGGUUUUCGGAUUGUAAACUGCUUUAGAUAGGGAAGAAAAAAAUGACAGUACCUAUAGAAUAAGCUCCGGCUAACUCCGUGCCAGCAGCCGCGGUAAUACGGAGGAUGCGAGCGUUAUCCGGAUUUAUUGGGUUUAAAGGGUGCGCAGGCGGAAGAUCAAGUCAGCGGUAAAAUUGAGGGGCUCAACCUCUUCGAGCCGUUGAAACUGGUUUUCUUGAGUGAGCGAGAAG